AGCGUACACGGUGGAUGCCCUGGCAGUCAGAGGCGAUGAAGGACGUGCUAAUCUGCGAUAAGCGUCGGUAAGGUGAUAUGAACCGUUAUAACCGGCGAUUUCCGAAUGGGGAAACCCAGUGUGAUGCGUCACACUAUCAUUAACUGAUUCCAUAGGUUAAUGAGGCGAACCGGGGGAACUGAAACAUCUAAGUACCCCGAGGAAAAGAAAUCAACCGAGAUUCCCCCAGUAGCGGCGAGCGAACGGGGAGCAGCCCAGAGCCUGAAUCAGUGUGUGUGUUAGUGGAAGCGUCUGGAAAGGCGCGCGAUACAGGGUGACAGCCCCGUACACAAAAAUGCACAUGCUGUGAGCUCGAUGAGUAGGGCGGGACACGUGGUAUCCUGUCUGAAUAUGGGGGGACCAUCCUCCAAGGCUAAAUACUCCUGACUGACCGAUAGUGAACCAGUACCGUGAGGGAAAGGCGAAAAGAACCCCGGUGAGGGGAGUGAAAUAGAACCUGAAACCGUGUACGUACAAGCAGUGGGAGCACGCUUAGGCGUGUGACUGCGUACCUUUUGUAUAAUGGGUCAGCGACUUAUAUUCUGUAGCAAGGUUAACCGAAUAGGGGAGCCGAAGGGAAACCGAGUCUUAACUGGGCGUUAAGUUGCAGGGUAUAGACCCGAAACCCGGUGAUCUAGCCAUGGGCAGGUUGAAGGUUGGGUAACACUAACUGGAGGACCGAACCGACUAAUGUUGAAAAAUUAGCGGAUGACUUGUGGCUGGGGGUGAAAGGCCAAUCAAACCGGGAGAUAGCUGGUUCUCCCCGAAAGCUAUUUAGGUAGCGCCUCGUGAACUCAUCUCCGGGGGUAGAGCACUGUUUCGGCAAGGGGGUCAUCCCGACUUACCAACCCGAUGCAAACUGCGAAUACCGGAGAAUGUUAUCACGGGAGACACACGGCGGGUGCUAACGUCCGUCGUGAAGAGGGAAACAACCCAGACCGCCAGCUAAGGUCCCAAAGUCAUGGUUAAGUGGGAAACGAUGUGGGAAGGCCCAGACAGCCAGGAUGUUGGCUUAGAAGCAGCCAUCAUUUAAAGAAAGCGUAAUAGCUCACUGGUCGAGUCGGCCUGCGCGGAAGAUGUAACGGGGCUAAACCAUGCACCGAAGCUGCGGCAGCGACGCUUAUGCGUUGUUGGGUAGGGGAGCGUUCUGUAAGCCUGUGAAGGUGUGCUGUGAGGCAUGCUGGAGGUAUCAGAAGUGCGAAUGCUGACAUAAGUAACGAUAAAGCGGGUGAAAAGCCCGCUCGCCGGAAGACCAAGGGUUCCUGUCCAACGUUAAUCGGGGCAGGGUGAGUCGACCCCUAAGGCGAGGCCGAAAGGCGUAGUCGAUGGGAAACAGGUUAAUAUUCCUGUACUUGGUGUUACUGCGAAGGGGGGACGGAGAAGGCUAUGUUAGCCGGGCGACGGUUGUCCCGGUUUAAGCAUGUAGGCGGAGGUUCCAGGUAAAUCCGGUACCUUUUAACGCUGAGGUGUGAUGACGAGGCACUACGGUGCUGAAGUAACAAAUGCCCUGCUUCCAGGAAAAGCCUCUAAGCAUCAGGUAACAUCAAAUCGUACCCCAAACCGACACAGGUGGUCAGGUAGAGAAUACCAAGGCGCUUGAGAGAACUCGGGUGAAGGAACUAGGCAAAAUGGUGCCGUAACUUCGGGAGAAGGCACGCUGGUGUGUAGGUGAAGUCCCUGCGGACGGAGCUGAGACCAGUCGAAGAUACCAGCUGGCUGCAACUGUUUAUUAAAAACACAGCACUGUGCAAACACGAAAGUGGACGUAUACGGUGUGACGCCUGCCCGGUGCCGGAAGGUUAAUUGAUGGGGUCAGCGCAAGCGAAGCUCUUGAUCGAAGCCCCGGUAAACGGCGGCCGUAACUAUAACGGUCCUAAGGUAGCGAAAUUCCUUGUCGGGUAAGUUCCGACCUGCACGAAUGGCGUAAUGAUGGCCAGGCUGUCUCCACCCGAGACUCAGUGAAAUUGAACUCGCUGUGAAGAUGCAGUGUACCCGCGGCAAGACGGAAAGACCCCGUGAACCUUUACUAUAGCUUGACACUGAACAUUGAGCCUUGAUGUGUAGGAUAGGUGGGAGGCUUGGAAGUGUGGACGCCAGUCUGCAUGGAGCCGACCUUGAAAUACCACCCUUUAAUGUUUGAUGUUCUAACGUUGACCCGUAAUCCGGGUUGCGGACAGUGUCUGGUGGGUAGUUUGACUGGGGCGGUCUCCUCCUAAAGAGUAACGGAGGAGCACGAAGGUUGGCUAAUCCUGGUCGGACAUCAGGAGGUUAGUGCAAUGGCAUAAGCCAGCUUGACUGCGAGCGUGACGGCGCGAGCAGGUGCGAAAGCAGGUCAUAGUGAUCCGGUGGUUCUGAAUGGAAGGGCCAUCGCUCAACGGAUAAAAGGUACUCCGGGGAUAACAGGCUGAUACCGCCCAAGAGUUCAUAUCGACGGCGGUGUUUGGCACCUCGAUGUCGGCUCAUCACAUCCUGGGGCUGAAGUAGGUCCCAAGGGUAUGGCUGUUCGCCAUUUAAAGUGGUACGCGAGCUGGGUUUAGAACGUCGUGAGACAGUUCGGUCCCUAUCUGCCGUGGGCGCUGGAGAACUGAGGGGGGCUGCUCCUAGUACGAGAGGACCGGAGUGGACGCAUCACUGGUGUUCGGGUUGUCAUGCCAAUGGCACUGCCCGGUAGCUAAAUGCGGAAGAGAUAAGUGCUGAAAGCAUCUAAGCACGAAACUUGCCCCGAGAUGAGUUCU
rnacentral:rRNA from 1 species